rnacentral:lncRNA from 1 species
AAAAAUCUAACUAAGAGAAUAUGCUAACUACCAUGUAAAAGUAUUUUUUUGUAAUUUGGGAUCUUAAAAUUUUUACAAAAUUUAGGGGUCCUAGGCAAAUGCCUUUUUCAAAAGCCUCUAAGCACGGCUUUGAGUGAGAGGUGACUAAGUAAGUCUCUGACGCUGUAAAAAGAAUCUUUGAUUUUCUUGGAUCUCUGUGAUCGCCAUUGGACGGCUCUCAGACCUAAGUUUUACCAUAUGGUUUCUGAUACCAUAUUAUUCUAUAUACUUUUAAUAUAUACUUUUUUUUUGGAACACAAACUUUUAAUAUAUACUAUAAACUAAAUAAAGGAACUAUGCAUUUCUUUUGUCCAAAAAAAAGGAAAUAUACAUUUCUAGACCUGUUGCACAUUUAAUAAUGUUUAAAGGAUAACUUUUUGAUAUAAAUAAAACAUAUUAGUACGUGCAAGAAUGUUUAUGUGAUGCUGACAAAAAAAAGAAUGGUUAUGUGACAUAGUGAACAUAUAGAUUCAUAAUCAUGAAUUAUUUGAUUUCCGUUUGUAUAUUUCUAACAGAUCUUUUUUUAUUUUAAGAAAAAACAUAUUCCCCGUGUAACCAUGUCACUGUAAGUUUUGGUUUGUAUUGACUAUUUUCUAACAAAAUAAAACCAACAAAGCUUAAAUCAAGAUCAAAUCUAAAGCUACAGUAUAAAGCCGCAAUAAAACAUCGCACACCAUUAUUACAAAGUAGCCUCCUAUUAUUUUCUUCGUCCAUUCAAUAUAUCUUUUUCAAGGAAUAAUCAAACAUGGAGGGACGAACUAAGGAAGCAUCUCAUUAACCAAAAGGAAGCAAGCAUCCCAUGUGAUGAUGUGAAUGUUGGGUGAAAAAUAAUUCAUGCGGGCAAAUAUUUAUUGAAUUCUAUAACCAAUGAAUAACAAAGUGAAAGUGAUGCCAAAAACAAAGACAUUGUUUCCCCCCUUUUUACUGAUGGGAAUUUACCAAAAUAAAACGUAGACAAAAGAAUAUUCAGAAAAAUAUGAAUUAUUUUAAUUUUUCCUUACGUUUUCAUUUGAUUUUUAUAAUUGGAUGCUUCAGAAAAGAAUUCUUCUCUAAAAGCAUUUUGUCUUCGGAUGAAUAGCGGAUUAGCUGUAUUACAAGUGUAUAAACAAGUGUUACCUCGUGUCAUGCACGAGGAUGUUAUUGGGCCAGCAGCUUUGAUAAUAGUAAUACUAUCCUCGUGUAUAAUUUAUUUUAAAACAAUUAUUUUAAAACAAAUUUAUUUUAAAACAAUUAUUCUUUAUUAUACACAUAAAUCAUAUUUUAUAUGAAUCCGUGUUUGUGUGAACAUAAAUUAUGAAUUUAAGCGAUUCAGUAGACUUUACUGUAUUGGUUUAAAAGUUUUCAACUUUUCAUUUUCAUUUUUUUAUAAGCUUAAACAAUAAUUUGUUUUAAUAAUUACUACUUAUUAAACCGAGUUUCCAUUUAUUUGGUCAAAAAGAUACGUAGCAUAUAUUUCAAACAACAAAGGAAAGUCGCAAGAUACUACCAAAAUUUCAAAGGAAAACGCUUUAUUUUUCCAAAUCAGCGCAAAAUAGCAAACAAGUCUCCGCGUUUCCUCUACAUCCCCUCCCUUAUUUAAACGCUUUUCUUCUCUCUUCCUCUUCAACCUCACAACAAUCCAUCUCCUCGAAAGACAUUAACUCCCAACCUAAAAAAACCCCUGUCUGAACGGCAUAUGUCUCAAAGACCUCAAGUUCCUCAUUCUUCCUCUAUAGCUUUCGGUCUCCAUUCCCAUCUCCUACUCUCCAGUGAGAUCAGCUCUAAUUCCAACUGGUCUCUUUAAAAACAAUAAAAAAAUCUAACCUUUUUUCAUUAUCUCGGAAAAAAAAAACAAUCUUUCUGAAAUGGGUCUAAAGGGUUUCGCUGAAGGAGGGAUCGCAUCGAUCGUAGCGGGCUGUUCGACCCACCCGCUCGAUCUAAUCAAGGUCCGAAUGCAGCUCCAAGGCGAAUCAGCCUCAGUUCAGACAACUCUCCGACCAGCUCUUGCCUUCCAGACUUCCUCCGCCGUUCACGCGCCUUCGCCUCCUCCGCGCGUGGGAAUUAUCACCAUCGGAUCUCGCAUCGUCACACAAGAAGGCACGCGCGCUCUCUUCUCCGGCGUCUCCGCCACCGUUCUCCG